GGGUUGUGAGGUUAAGCGACUAAGCGUACACGGUGGAUGCCCUGGCAGUCAGAGGCGAUGAAGGACGUGCUAAUCUGCGAUAAGCGUCGGUAAGGUGAUAUGAACCGUUAUAACCGGCGAUUUCCGAAUGGGGAAACCCAGUGUGUUUCGACACACUAUCAUUAACUGAAUCCAUAGGUUAAUGAGGCGAACCGGGGGAACUGAAACAUCUAAGUACCUCGAGGAAAAGAAAUCAACCGAGAUUCCCCCAGUAGCGGCGAGCGAACGGGGAGCAGCCCAGAGCCUGAAUCAGUGUGUGUGUUAGUGGAAGCGUCUGGAAAGGCGUGCGAUACAGGGUGACAGCCCCGUACACAAAAAUGCACAUGCUGUGAGCUCGAUGAGUAGGGCGGGACACGUGGUAUCCUGUCUGAAUAUGGGGGGACCAUCCUCCAAGGCUAAAUACUCCUGACUGACCGAUAGUGAACCAGUACCGUGAGGGAAAGGCGAAAAGAACCCCGGCGAGGGGAGUGAAAAAGAACCUGAAACCGUGUACGUACAAGCAGUGGGAGCACGCUUAGGCGUGUGACUGCGUACCUUUUGUAUAAUGGGUCAGCGACUUAUAUUCUGUAGCAAGGUUAACCGAAUAGGGGAGCCGAAGGGAAACCGAGUCUUAACUGGGCGUUAAGUUGCAGGGUAUAGACCCGAAACCCGGUGAUCUAGCCAUGGGCAGGUUGAAGGUUGGGUAACACUAACUGGAGGACCGAACCGACUAAUGUUGAAAAAUUAGCGGAUGACUUGUGGCUGGGGGUGAAAGGCCAAUCAAACCGGGAGAUAGCUGGUUCUCCCCGAAAGCUAUUUAGGUAGCGCCUCGUGAAUUCAUCUCCGGGGGUAGAGCACUGUUUCGGCAAGGGGGUCAUCCCGACUUACCAACCCGAUGCAAACUGCGAAUACCGGAGAAUGUUAUCACGGGAGACACACGGCGGGUGCUAACGUCCGUCGUGAAGAGGGAAACAACCCAGACCGCCAGCUAAGGUCCCAAAGUCAUGGUUAAGUGGGAAACGAUGUGGGAAGGCCCAGACAGCCAGGAUGUUGGCUUAGAAGCAGCCAUCAUUUAAAGAAAGCGUAAUAGCUCACUGGUCGAGUCGGCCUGCGCGGAAGAUGUAACGGGGCUAAACCAUGCACCGAAGCUGCGGCAGCGACACUAUGUGUUGUUGGGUAGGGGAGCGUUCUGUAAGCCUGUGAAGGUGUACUGUGAGGUAUGCUGGAGGUAUCAGAAGUGCGAAUGCUGACAUAAGUAACGAUAAAGCGGGUGAAAAGCCCGCUCGCCGGAAGACCAAGGGUUCCUGUCCAACGUUAAUCGGGGCAGGGUGAGUCGACCCCUAAGGCGAGGCCGAAAGGCGUAGUCGAUGGGAAACAGGUUAAUAUUCCUGUACUUGGUGUUACUGCGAAGGGGGGACGGAGAAGGCUAUGUUGGCCGGGCGACGGUUGUCCCGGUUUAAGCGUGUAGGCUGGUUUUCCAGGCAAAUCCGGAAAAUCAAGGCUGAGGCGUGAUGACGAGGCACUACGGUGCUGAAGCAACAAAUGCCCUGCUUCCAGGAAAAGCCUCUAAGCAUCAGGUAACAUCAAAUCGUACCCCAAACCGACACAGGUGGUCAGGUAGAGAAUACCAAGGCGCUUGAGAGAACUCGGGUGAAGGAACUAGGCAAAAUGGUGCCGUAACUUCGGGAGAAGGCACGCUGAUAUGUAGGUGAAGUCCCUCGCGGAUGGAGCUGAAAUCAGUCGAAGAUACCAGCUGGCUGCAACUGUUUAUUAAAAACACAGCACUGUGCAAACACGAAAGUGGACGUAUACGGUGUGACGCCUGCCCGGUGCCGGAAGGUUAAUUGAUGGGGUCAGCGCAAGCGAAGCUCUUGAUCGAAGCCCCGGUAAACGGCGGCCGUAACUAUAACGGUCCUAAGGUAGCGAAAUUCCUUGUCGGGUAAGUUCCGACCUGCACGAAUGGCGUAAUGAUGGCCAGGCUGUCUCCACCCGAGACUCAGUGAAAUUGAACUCGCUGUGAAGAUGCAGUGUACCCGCGGCAAGACGGAAAGACCCCGUGAACCUUUACUAUAGCUUGACACUGAACAUUGAGCCUUGAUGUGUAGGAUAGGUGGGAGGCUUUGAAGUGUGGACGCCAGUCUGCAUGGAGCCGACCUUGAAAUACCACCCUUUAAUGUUUGAUGUUCUAACGUUGACCCGUAAUCCGGGUUGCGGACAGUGUCUGGUGGGUAGUUUGACUGGGGCGGUCUCCUCCUAAAGAGUAACGGAGGAGCACGAAGGUUGGCUAAUCCUGGUCGGACAUCAGGAGGUUAGUGCAAUGGCAUAAGCCAGCUUGACUGCGAGCGUGACGGCGCGAGCAGGUGCGAAAGCAGGUCAUAGUGAUCCGGUGGUUCUGAAUGGAAGGGCCAUCGCUCAACGGAUAAAAGGUACUCCGGGGAUAACAGGCUGAUACCGCCCAAGAGUUCAUAUCGACGGCGGUGUUUGGCACCUCGAUGUCGGCUCAUCACAUCCUGGGGCUGAAGUAGGUCCCAAGGGUAUGGCUGUUCGCCAUUUAAAGUGGUACGCGAGCUGGGUUUAGAACGUCGUGAGACAGUUCGGUCCCUAUCUGCCGUGGGCGCUGGAGAACUGAGGGGGGCUGCUCCUAGUACGAGAGGACCGGAGUGGACGCAUCACUGGUGUUCGGGUUGUCAUGCCAAUGGCACUGCCCGGUAGCUAAAUGCGGAAGAGAUAAGUGCUGAAAGCAUCUAAGCACGAAACUUGCCCCGAGAUGAGUUCUCCCUGACUCCUUGAGAGUCCUGAAGGAACGUUGAAG
rnacentral:rRNA from 1 species